UCUCCCUCGGCCGCUUCUCCCUUUUACCUCGCAGGGAUACAUAGUCUAAUUCCAGACAUGGGCAAAUUUCGGCCCUCCAGGUGUUUUGGACUUCCACAAUUCUUAACAGCCUCAGGCCCCUUCCUUUUCCCUUCCUUUCCCCCCUCAGCCGCUUAGCUGAGGGGAAAAUUGUGGGAGUUGAAGUCCAAAACACCUGGAGGGCCCAGGUUUGCCUAUGCCUGGUCAAAUCCCCCCCCCCCUCCACCUGAUGGCUGUCUGUUAGCCUCUUUUCAAGGCAAUCCAUUCCACUGCCAAAGAACUCUGACCGUCAGGAAGUUCUAAUGUUUAGGUGGAAUCUCCUUCCCUGCCAUUUGAACCUGUUCUUCCAUUUGAAUCCACAUAGACAAAAUUUUUGAGAUCUAUCCUUGGCCUGUCAAAUGUAUGCCGAUGACACCCAACUCUAUUACUCCUUUCCACCCAAAGUCAAAGAUGCUGUGUGCCAGCAGCAUCCGUACCUUCAGUCACCAAGUCUGCCCAUUGGUCAGUUCUCACCUGAAAUACUGUGUCCAGUUCUGGGCACCACAGUUCAAAGGAGAUGUCCAGAGGAGAGCGAGGAGGGCGACUAAUAUGAUCAGAGAUCUGGAUACCAUGCCCUGUGAGGAGCGUCUUAAAGAACUGGGCAUGUUUAGCCUGCAGAAGAUAAGGUUGAGAGGCGACAUGACCUCUAUGAUUAAAAACCUGAAAAAAUCUUACGGUAUUAGGAAGAGGGAACAGGCUUUUUUUCUGCUGCCCUGGAGAUUAGGAUUCAAUGUAGCAAUAGGUUCAAAUGACAGGAAAGGAGAUUCUACCUGAACAUUAGGAAAACUUCCCGACCAUAAGAGUUAUUCAGCAGUGGAACUCUCUGCCUCAGAAUCUAGUGAAGGCUUCUUCCUUGGAAGCCUUUAAACAGGCUGGAUGGCCAUCUGUCGAGUACUUUUCCUGCUUGGCAGGAAGUUGGACUAGGUAUUCCAUGUGGUAUCUUCCAACUCUAUUCUAUGAUUCUAGGAUUGAUUCCCUGCAGAGUGAGCUUUGCCAGGAAGUGCAGAAGAGGCCCCUGCAGCCAGUAAGCCAGCCUUGCCUGACACCCUCAGCAUGUGAAACAGGCCACAAAGUGGAAACACUGAAAAUAGGAGCCUGUUUGAAAAAGUAAUAAUUGAAUACAUUUUGAAAGAAGCGUUCAAGUGGUUGCCAGAACAUGUUUUUGUUUACUUACAAAAUAUGGUGGAACUCACUGUCUCAGUGAGUGGUGGAGGUUCCUUCUUUUGAGGCUUUUAAGCAAAGGCUGGCUGGAUAUCUGGCAGGGUUGCUUUGAUUGUGCUUUUCCUGCAUGGCAGAAUGGGGUUAGACUGGAUGGCCUGUGUAGUCUCUUCCAACUCUAGGAUUGAAUGACUUUUAACAUGGCCUGGUGGUUUCAUUUCUGCACAUACAUACUGUUAGCUGUGAAUCAAAAGCUUCCUGAAACAUUGAACUCUAUUUUGUAAAACUGAAACCUAUUUCUCAUGUUAUUUCAGUUUCUGAUAACACAUUUUCUGUUAAAGGAGUAAUGCCAAGAAGCACAUGCAUUUUGCUACCUGAGAUAUCUCUACUGAUAAAAGUGGCAGGUGGUAAAACACUCCUAGAAAAAGCAUUCAGGGGAGCUCUUAGGCGAAAGGGACUCUUGGCACACAUAGAAGUGUUGUAUGAAUUGGCAACUGAACUAAAACUGACAAUUUCUUCAUUUUGGUAGUGAUUAGGUUGCACUUUGACUGUCAGCAAGGGAAAGGGAGAUUUGUAUUGGUGGAGGAAGCUAGCCACAGAAGUUAGCAUUUCUAGGCUGCUAAGGAGAAAGUGAGGGGAAACAAUUUGUAAACCAUCUGUUGAGGCCCAGUCUGCCUUUCUUCCUAGAAGCAAGUUGCCUCCUUUCCUCCCUUAUGGUGGCACCAGCACUAGUCAAACUACUGGCCCUUCAUGACAAGAUCCAGAUUAUCUGAAAGACCAUAUUUCCCCUUGUCAGUUUUAAAAUCCAUGGGUGAAGACUUUUGCUCAUUCCCACCACCAUUACAGACUUGCUUGGAGAAGAUAAGAACCUUCUCCAUGGCUGCUCCCAUCCCUUGAAAUGCCCAGCUCCUUCCCUGCUUUCCUUUGCUAACAGAGCAGAAGACUUCGGCUUUGAGGACUCCAUGCCCACUGGCAACUGGCAUUCAGAAACAUUCUUGUCAUCACGCGAGUUGAGUCCAUGAGCCGCAUCAUCUUGGAAAGCAGAAGAAGAUAUUUCAUAAGCUGUGCUCAC